GAUGGCGACCGGCGCACGGGUGAGUAACACGUAUCCAACCUGCCGCUUACUCGGGGAUUAGCCUUUCGAAAGAAGAUUAAUACCCGAUGGUAUAAAGAGUUCGCAUGUUCUCUUUAUUAAGAAUUUCGGUAAGCGAUGGGAUGCGUUCCAUUAGAUAGUUGCGGGUAACGGCCCACCAAGUCUACGAUGGAUAGGGUUCUGACGAGGAAGGUCCCCCACAUUGGAACUGAGACACGGUCCAAACUCCUACGGGAGGCAGCAGUGAGGAAUAUUGGUCAAUGGACGAGAGUCUGAACCAGCCAAGUAGCCGUGAAGGAUGACUGCCCUAAUGGGUUGUAAACUUCUUUUAUAAGGGAAUAAAGUGAGGGACGUGUCCCUUUUUGUAUGUACCUUAUGAAUAAGGAUCGGCUAACUCCGUGCCAGCAGCCGC
rnacentral:rRNA from 1 species